GACCGUGCAAAGGUAGCAUAAUCAUUUGCCUUAUAAUUGAAGGCUAGUAUGAAUGGUUUGACGAGAAUUAAGCUGUCUCUUUUCAAUUAAAUAUAAUUUUAUUAAUAGGUGAAGAAGCCUAUAUUUUAUUGAAAGACAAGAAGACCCUAUCGAGCUUUAAGAAAUUUGGUAGACUCACCAUAUAUUUAUAAAAAAGUGAGACUAUCAAAAACUUUGGUUGGGGCGACUGAGGAACAAAUAAAGCUUCCUUUUGAUUUUUAAACCUACAAGUAUUGAUCCAAUAGAUUUGAUUAAAGGAAUUAGUUACCGUAGGGAUAACAGCAUAAUCUUCUUUGAGAGUUCUUAUCGAAAAGGGGGUUUGUGACCUCGAUGUUGGACCAGAAUACCCAGAAGAUGCAGCCGUCUUCAAUGGUUGGUCUGUUCGACCAUUAAAAUUCUACGUGAUCUGAGUUCAGACCGGCGUGAGCCAGGUCAGUUUCUAUCUUCAAUUUUUAUAAUGGCUUUAGUACGAAAGGACCAAGCUAUUACAAGGCGUUAUGUAGAAAGUUGAUUUAAUAUAAAGAAUACUUAAAUAAAUAAAGAUCAAAUUAGCAAAGAUUAAUGCAAUUGACUUAGGAUCAAUAGACAUAGGUGAAAUCCCUUUAUUUGAUAUAUAAAGAUGGCAGAAAAA
rnacentral:rRNA from 1 species